UUAGUAUUUUCGUUCUAUUUACUGUUACAUUUGAUAAUAAAAGUAAAAAAUUUCAAAAUUUAUGUUGAAGAUAAAUAAAUUUGAUUUUUAUAUUUUUUUAUUCAUAAUUUUGUACGUAAACUUAGAUUGUUUGUUUUUUCUCCGUUUUAUGUAAAUCGUUAAUAUAAUAUGAUGCACCCAGAAUCAAAAGAACUUUAUGAAUUAUCAAAUAUGAAGAAAACAACUUUAUUGCACAUUUAUCCUUUCGACAUCAACAAUAUUUUGACAAAAAAAAGGUGAAACAUAAAACGAAAUAUUCUAAAAAUCCAUUUAUUGUAAAUACAAAUAAAAUAGUUUUAAAUAUUAUACGUAUAUUAAGUUUAUCCUUACGAUCGUCUCGUACUCGACAACCCAUCUCGACAAGAAAUAGUCCAUAACAUUCUAUUGAUUCUAAGUGCCUUAUAUAUAUUAUCGUAAUAUUUUGUUUAUUCCUUUAAUUUUUUAUAUAUAGAUAUUUAGCUGUUUGCAAUUAAUUAAUAAUUUCUUUUAAUAAAUCUUCUAUGAAUAGUGUUUU